AAUGAAAUGCCUGAUAAAAGGAUUAUUUUGAUAGAAUAAAUUAUGUAACUUUAAGUUAUUUUCAUUA
rnacentral:tRNA from 1 species